ACGCUUCUAAAGAAAUUAAAAAAAAAAAAAGGCUUGUUUACUUUGGAAUGUGGAGUAAAGAGAGCAACAAGAGAUUGAAGUCAAAGAAUAGGAGAAACAGAAGUGUUCUAUAAGAAAUUUGGACAAGACACUGCAAGAAGUUAAGAGGUCCUUAAAGGCAACUGUGAAUUAACGGAGACUGGUAUUGAGAAAAUCAGUCCUGAUUUGUUUCUCCUGGAGUUUUCUUCUUUAUGUGAUCCUUCAUAAAAGCUGCUAAUAUGGGAAAGACUGAAAUCAGCAAGUUUCUGGCUGUAAGCUAAAAGAGGCUCUUGAAUCAUAUUUCCGCCUACUUAGCAAAUUUCUCUUGCGACAAUUGGAUGUUAUUUGGGGUUCCAUACUAGCAGGAAGAAGUACAAGCAAAGCUAAGUCAUUUUGAGAAUAAAUAUUAUCUCUAUAUA